rnacentral:rRNA from 1 species
GAUGAACGCUGGCGGCGUGCCUAAUACAUGCAAGUCGAGCGAACGGACGAGAAGCUUGCUUUUCUGAUGUUAGCGGCGGACGGGUGAGUAACACGUGGAUAACCUACCUAUAAGACUGGGAUAACUUCGGGAAACCGGAGCUAAUACCGGAUAAUAUUUUGAACCGCAUGGUUCAAAAGUGAAAGACGGUCUUGCUGUCACUUAUAGAUGGAUCCGCGCUGCAUUAGCUAGUUGGUAAGGUAACGGCUUACCAAGGCAACGAUGCAUAGCCGACCUGAGAGGGUGAUCGGCCACACUGGAACUGAGACGCGGUCCAGACUCCUACGGGAGGCAGCAGUAGGGAAUCUUCCGCGAUGGGCGAAAGCCUGACGGAGCAGCGCCGCGUGAGUGAUGAAGGUCUUCGGAUCGUAAAACUCUGUUAUUAGGGAAGAACAUAUGUGUAAGUAACUGUGCACAUCUUGACGGUACCUAAUCAGAAAGCCACGGCUAACUACGUG